UACGAAGGGGGCUAGCGUUGUUCGGAAUUACUGGGCGUAAAGGGCUCGUAGGUGGCCAACUAAGUCAGACGUGAAAUCCCUCGGCUUAACCGGGGAACUGCGUCUGAUACUGGAUGGCUAGAGAUUGGGAGAGGGAUGCGGAAUUCCAGGUGUAGCGGUGAAAUGCGUAGAUAUCUGGAGGAACACCGGUGGCGAAGGCGGCAUCCUGGACCAACACUGACGCUGAGGAGCGAAAGCCAGGGGAGCAAACGGG
rnacentral:rRNA from 1 species